rnacentral:rRNA from 1 species
UACAGAGGUCUCAAGCGUUUGUUCGGAUUCAUUGGGCGUAAAGGGUGCGUAGGCGGCGCGGUAAGUCGGGUGUGAAAUCUCGGAGCUUAACUGGUGGCUUUGCUUUCGAUACGGGCAGACUGGAGGUAUGCAGGGGAGAACGAAAUUCCUGGUGUAGCGGUGAAAUGCGCAGAUAUCAGGAGGAACACCGGUGGCGAAGGCGGUUCUCUGGGCAUGUCCUGACGCUGAGGAGCGAAAGUGUGGGGAGCGAACAGG